rnacentral:rRNA from 1 species
AUACGGAGGAUCCGAGCGUUAUCCGGAUUUAUUGGGUUUAAAGGGAGCGUAGGUGGAUUGUUAAGUCAGUUGUGAAAGUUUGCGGCUCAACCGUAAAAUUGCAGUUGAAACUGGCAGUCUUGAGUACAGUAGAGGUGGGCGGAAUUCGUGGGGUAGCGGGUAAAUGCUUAGAUAUCACGAAGAACUCCGAUUGCGAAGGCAGCUCACUAGACUGUUACUGACACUGAUGCUCGAAAGUGUGGGUAUCAAACAGGAUUAGAUACCCUGGUAGUCCACACAGUAAACGAUGAAUACUCGCUGUUUGCGAUAUACAGUAAGCGGCCAAGCGAAAGCAUUAAGUAUUCCACCUGGGGAGUACGCCGGCAACGGUGAAACUCAAAUGAAUUGGCGGGG